rnacentral:rRNA from 1 species
AUACGUAGGUGACAAGCGUUAUCCGGAUUUACUGGGCGUAAAGGGCGUGUAGGCGGCCGAUUAAGUCUGGAGUGAAAGUCCUGCAUUCAAUGUGGGAAUUGCUUUGGAGACUGGUUGGCUUGAGUGCGGAAGAGGUAAGUGGAAUUCCCAGUGUAGCGGUGAAAUGCGUAGAGAUUGGGAGGAACACCAGUGGCGAAGGCGACUUACUGGGCCGUAACUGACGCUGAGGCGCGAAAGCGUGGGGAGCGAACAGGAUUAGAUACCCUGGUAGUCCACGCGGUAAACGAUGAAUGCUAGGUGUUGCGGGUAUCGACCCCUGCAGUGCCGGAGUAAACACAAUAAGCAUUCCGCCUGGGGAGUACGGCCGCAAGGUUGAAACUCAAAGGAAUUGACGGGG